rnacentral:misc_RNA from 1 species
AACCUUAUGGACCUGCGGGCGUAUACCUGCGGAAGGAUCAUUACACAAUACAAUAUGAAGGCUGUCCGCAGCUGGAGUAUUUUAUUACCCUUGUCUUUUGCGCACUUGUUGUUUCCUGGGCGGGUUCGCUCGCCACCAGGACCACCAAAUAAACCUUUUUUAUGCAGUUGCAAUCAGCGUCAGUACAAACAAUGUAAAUCAUUUACAACUUUUAGCAAUGGAUCUCAGAUCGGAAGAGCA